rnacentral:misc_RNA from 1 species
GAUGAAGAACGCAGCGAAAUGCGAUAAGUAAUGUGAAUUGCAGAAUUCAGAGAAUCAUCGAAUCUUUGAACGCACCUUGCGCUCCUUGGUAUUCCGAGGAGCAUGCCUGUUUGAGUGUCAUGAAAUUCUCAACCUUUCUGGCUUUUGCUAGUCAGGCUUGGAUUAUGGGAGCUGCUGGCUUUUGAAGUCGGCUCUUCUAAAAUGUAUUAGCAAGAUCAUUGCUGCUCAUCAUUGGUAUGAUAAUUAUCUAUAUCAUUGAGAGUCAGUUUCCUUUAUUGGAAGAUUUUGCUCCUAACGGUCUUUAGCAAGACAACAUUUGACGAUUUUGACCUCAAAUCAGGUAGGACUACCCGCUGAACUUAAGCAUAUCAAUAAGCGGAGGA